rnacentral:rRNA from 1 species
GACGAACGCUGGCGGCGUGCUUAACACAUGCAAGUCGAACGGAAAGGCCCUGCUUUUGUGGGGUGCUCGAGUGGCGAACGGGUGAGUAACGCGUGAGUAACCUGCCCUUGACUUUGGGAUAACUUCAGGAAACUGGGGCUAAUACCGGAUAGGAGCUCCUGCUGCAUGGUGGGGGUUGGAAAGUUUCGGCGGUUGGGGAUGGACUCGCGGCUUAUCAGCUUGUUGGUGGGGUAGUGGCUUACCAAGGCUUUGACGGGUAGCCGGCCUGAGAGGGUGACCGGCCACAUUGGGACUGAGAUACGGCCCAGACUCCUACGGGAGGCAGCAGUGGGGAAUAUUGCACAAUGGGCGGAAGCCUGAUGCAGCAACGCCGCGUGCGGGAUGACGGCCUUCGGGUUGUAAACCGCUUUCGCCUGUGACGAAGCGUGAGUGACGGUAAUGGGUAAAGAAGCACCAGCUAACUACGUG